rnacentral:lncRNA from 1 species
UCCUUUGAGUACUGACCUUGUUGGGCUCUGAGGGCUGCUUCUAACCCCUUCCAACUGAGGAGAUUAUGAGCUCAACUCUUGGAAGCCAUGAGAGACAGAGGGAUCCCCAAAGGUCCCAGAUGUAAGUCCCUUGUGUCACUCCUUCUGUGCUGCCUUGGAUAUGAACUUCCUCAUAUGCUGAGAGUUUUAACAUGGCUUUGCUUAGGAAUCCGGCCCAGAUCAAGUGGAUGACAGCAUCUCCCCACGUGACUGGACGAAUGGCUUCAUGUCACCACUGCAUGCCUCAGAGCUGAGACUGUGAUUGUCAGAAAGGAAGGAGACGGAGCCACUUAAAAGUCAAACCCACUCAUGAACUUACUCAAGCCCCACCCUAUGCUCCUGGCUGCUGGCAGGUGCAGGGGGUCAUCCAUAGGUGUUACCCGCACAUCCCUU